CUUUUCCGUCUCUUUCUUUUUAUGUCACCAGGGGAGGACUGGGUGGCCAACCCAGAGCCCCGAGAGAUGCUAGGCUCUUUCUGUCCCGCCCUUCCUCUGACUGUGUCUUGAUUUCCUAUUCUGAGAGGCUAUUGCUCAGCGGUUUCCGUGGCAACAGUAAAGCGUGGGAAUUACAGAUAAAUUAAAACUGUGGAACCCCUUUCCUCGGCUGCCGCCAAGGUGUUCGGUCCUUCCGAGGAAGCUAAGGCCGCGUUGGGGUGAGACCCUCACUUCAUCCGAGUCAUUCUUAUAGAAGAGCAUCAGAGGAAGAUAAAAAAGAAUCCUCAAUGUCAGGCCCCUGAGCCCAAGCUAAGCCAUCAUAACCCUGUGACCUGCACAUAUACAUCCAGAUGGCCUGAAGCAACUGAAGAACCAUAAACGUGAAAUAGCCAGUUCCUGCCUUAACUGAUGACAUUCCACCAUUGUGAUUUGUUCCUGCUCCACCCUAACUGAUCAAUUGAUCUUGUGACAUUCCUUCUCCUGGACAAUGAGUCUCAGGAGCUCCUCACCAAGCACCUUGUUACCCCCACCCCUGCCCACAAGAGAAAACGCACGUUAACUGUAAUUUUUCCACUACCUACCCAAAUCCUAUAAAACUGCCCCACCCCAUCUCCUUUUGCUGACUCCAGGUGAUUAAAAAACUAUUGCUCACACAAA
rnacentral:lncRNA from 10 species